GAUGGCCCCCAUCCAGAAGGCAGCAGGCGCGAAAAUUACCCCUUCCGGCGCGGAGAGGUAGUGACUAGUCUAACAAAUAUAGACCCUAGUGGUUUGUAUUUGGACUGGUGAGAUGUUAUAAAUAUCUCAGUAAUCUAGAUCAGGGCAAGUCUGGUGCCAGCAGCCGCGGUAAUACCAGCCUGAUCAAGCGUAUGCUUUAGUUGCUGCGUUUAAAAAGCUCAUAGUUGGAUCUUCGAGAGCGUGAUCAUCAAAGGGCGUAGUUCGGUUACGGUCGUUCUAUUCCUGGUCACGGACUUUCAAUAUACUUGGAAGACAGUUUAUUCUUAACUGAAUAGACUGAUCGAAAACAAGUGAUAAACCUUGAAAAAAUUAGAGUGCUCAAAGCAAGCUUUGGCCUUGAAUUUUAAAGCAUGGAAUUGAGGAAGAGGACCAUUAUGGUCGUGAACCAUUUUGGUAAUGAUUAAAAGGAACAGACGGGGGGCAUACCGUAUUGCUCGGGGAGGGGUGAAAUCCGUAGAUCCCAGCAAGACGACCUACUGCGAAAGCAUUUGCCAAGAAUGUUUUCAUUAAUCAAGAACGAAAGUUAGAGUAUUAAAGAGGAUUAGAUACCCUCGUAAUUCUAACCUUAA
rnacentral:rRNA from 1 species